UACGGGGGGGGCAAGCGUUGUUCGGAAUUACUGGGCGUAAAGGGUUCGUAGGUGGCCUGCUAAGUCAGACGUGAAAUCCCUCAGCUCAACUGGGGAACUGCGUCUGAGACUGGACGGCUUGAGUGCAGGAGAGGAACGCGGAAUUCCAGGUGUAGCGGUGAAAUGCGUAGAUAUCUGGAGGAACACCGGUGGCGAAGGCGGCAUUCUGGACCGACAUUGACGCUGAGGAGCGAAAGCCAGGGGAGCAAACGGG
rnacentral:rRNA from 1 species